AACGAACGCUGGCGGCAGGCUUAACACAUGCAAGUCGAGCGCCCCGCAAGGGGAGCGGCAGACGGGUGAGUAACGCGUGGGAAUCUACCCAUCUCUACGGAAUAACGCAUGGAAACGUGUGCUAAUACCGUAUACGUCCUUCGGGAGAAAGAUUUAUCGGAGAUGGAUGAGCCCGCGUUGGAUUAGCUAGUUGGUGGGGUAAAGGCCUACCAAGGCGACGAUCCAUAGCUGGUCUGAGAGGAUGAUCAGCCACCCUGGGACUGGGACACGGCCCGGACUCCGACGGGAGGCUGCAGUCGAGGAUCUUCGGAAAUGGACGCAAGUCUGACCGAGCGACGCCGCGUGUGCGAUGAAGGCCUUCGGGUUGUAAAGCACUGUCGAGAGGGAACAAGCCGCAAGGUUGAGUGACCUCUGGAGGAAGGACGGGCUAAGUUCGUGCCAGCCGCCGCCGUAACAC
rnacentral:rRNA from 1 species